rnacentral:rRNA from 1 species
UACAGAGGGUGCAAGCGUUGUUCGGAAUUAUUGGGCGUAAAGCGCGUGUAGGCGGCUUUGCAAGUCGGGUGUGAAAGCCCUCGGCUUAACCGAGGAAGUGCGCCCGAAACUGCAGAGCUUGAGUACCGGAGAGGAUGGCGGAAUUCCCCAAGUAGAGGUGAAAUUCGUAGAUAUGGGGAGGAACACCGGUGGCGAAGGCGGCCAUCUGGACGGAUACUGACGCUGAGGUGCGAAAGCGUGGGGAGCAAACAGGG